UUUUAACAUUAUACUCGUUUCUUCACUGGCUGUCAAGGCGUCAGAAAAAAAAAAUCAGUUCUCAUCUCUCGUUUUCCACCAAUCACACGUCAUUCAGUAAGAUGUGCCUCAGAAUGUCAGUUGUUUGCUCCUCUUUGUGGUCUGUGUCAUGGUCAUCUUAGUAGAGAUGGCUCCUGUCUUGCUUUGGAAAGCGGAGAUGUGAUUCUACUUCCGCUCAAUACUGGGGCGGAUUUAUUCUCGUAGACUUCAGGGUCACCGACCACCCAAAAAUCCUGGACGCUUUUAUUCAUCACCCGGCGGCUCUCCCACCCUUCAAUUUUUCUGCAUAGCAACCCUUGGAAGAAAAGUUUGGACACCCCUAAUGUAUCGAUUAGUGACUAAAAUGAUUUCCCCACCCCUCCUGUCUCCUUCAUAUCAAUUUCAACUGGAUUCUCUCAUGCAUGUAUUGUGUAAUGUAAUGAUUUGAGUUGAAGAAAGAAAUAUGUAUGUUUGUUGUUUGCCAUUAUCCAGCUACGUUCUAAUUUUGAGGCAAUAUUGCAUUGAGGAGAAUCUGGUUGAAAAGUUUACCUGUUGUUUUUUUGUCAGUGCAACUUUUAUUUGCAGUCAAACAUGGACAAAAGCCUUCAUUGAAAUCUCUUCUGCAGUUGACCUCUCUUCCAUUUUCCUGCAAGGAAGCUCCAAUAUGGCAGCAUUGUCGCAGGGGCGAUAAGUGCUAUCACUCUCCCUCUUCCUGCCCGUGUAAAUGCUUUGCCAUCAAACAACGGCUUCACUCCGCAUGUUCUCAUGAGACGGGACCUUGGGCUCCGCUGGUCGAGGUCUCCAUUUGAACCCCGACUGAAGGACGAAGACGGAAGUUCCAACACUUUGAGUGUGUGGCCUUCUCAGACACGGGGUAGUACCUGUCUUUUUUUGCUCACUUUUUUAGCUUGUUGAGAGAGAGCGAGAAUGCGACUUUUUUCCUCUGCUUGUAUGGCGUAAGAGAGAUUUUGAUGAAAAGCUGUGAGUGUUUGGAUAAAAGGGUCUUUGCUUCCGUACUCUUUUGGUGAUUGAAUGACUGCCUGUCAGAUGUCACAUCUGUGAAACGGUCACAGUGUUACUGCACUUUUGUAGAAAGCUUACAAAGUCAUCGAGUAUGGCUACUUGACUAGAGCUGGUACGAAUGCAUCAGCAAGGCAAAUGGGUUUACACUGCAGGUUCACGUGCCCAGUUCCGAUUAAAUGCCCAUAUGCGUUUGUUGUGCAUUUCAGGUAACACAUAUUACAUAUGGCUUUGUUUAAACUGAUUGAACACGCGGGUCAAAUCUAAUUUCUUCAAGUCGUGACAAUUGCUUUCAAUGUGGGUAACCCUCCACAUGACUUCGCUGGCCGUAGUCUGUAAUACCGCGUGUUUAAUUUGACACACCUCAUGUAGCAUAUUGUGUAUGCGUUUGUUAUCCGUCUUUCUGUAGGCAUGACAAUGAUCUCAAAUUAGGCAAUUUCAUUCGGAAACCCUCCAUUUACACUGCCAUGACAUGCUAAUUCUGCCACCCGACAACGAAAACAAACAUUGGAAUUGUGUCACUUGAACUAUGCAGUGCAAAUCCCGCGUUCGAGAGACCAACAACCUCAAUAUGUCUGAAGUGAAUUUUUGACGUUUAUUAGAAUAUUUGUGGCAAGAGUGGGGAGUAAGGACCCGUCUGUGCCUUAUUCUCUGCUCUGAGUGUCUUUGUUCUUCCUCUUCUUUUUCAAAGACUUCUGCUCCUUUUCCACUUCUUCGCUUUUCCUCUGUAUGUGCAGUGACUGAAAUAAAGGGGAAUCAAACAAGAAA